UCCUUCUCAAUUUUUCGGCACCGCCGCAGCAGGGAAAGAGGAGAGGAAGCUCAGAAAAUCAGAGAAGUUGCAGAGGCAGGCACAUGCGAGGUAGGAGACGACAGUAGACAUAUCGAUGGUGUGGCAGGGAUUAGACAUCCAUGGAAGAAGGAGAAAGGGAAGAUCCAUGGAAGAAAGAGAAAGGGAAGAUAAAAGGGGCGAGGAGGAAGGUUAGUGGUGGGUUGGCAGUUGAUUUUUUUUAAUAGUAAAUUAGAUUAAUUAGGAGUUAAUUAGUUUAGUUAAGAAAAAAGUUAACGGAAAAGUUAACGGAGCUGACGGAAAAUCUUCAUUAAUGGCAUAUUGUGUAUUAAGUUUAUGAAUAA